rnacentral:rRNA from 1 species
CAAUAGCGUAUAUUUAAGUUGUUGCAGUUAAAAAGCUCGUAGUUGGAUUUCGGAUGGGACUUGCCGGUCCGUCGUUUCGAUGUGCACUGGCCAGUCCUAUCUUGUUGUCGGGGACUAGCUCCUGGGCUUCACUGUCCGGGACUAGGAGCUGACGAGGUUACUUUGAGUAAAUUAGAGUGUUCAAAGCAAGCCUACGCUCUGAAUACAUUAGCAUGGAAUAACACGAUAGGACUCUGGCUUAUCUUGUUGGUCUGUGAGACCAGAGUAAUGAUUAAGAGGGACAGUCGGGGGCAUUCGUAUUUCAUUGUCAGGGGUGAAAUUCUUGGAUUUAUGAAAGACGAACUUCUGCGAAAGCAUUUGUCAAGGAUGUUUUCAUUAA